GGGGGUGUAGCUCAGGUGGCAGAGCAACGGCUUUUUAAGCCGUGGGCCGAAGGUUCAAAUCCUUCCACCCUCA
rfam:Candidate division Zixibacteria bacterium 4484_93 ex4484_93_scaffold_31716, whole genome shotgun sequence.